AUGGGGUUUAGUGCAUAUCAAAAGAUAUCGGCGGCAAUGCGGGUACUCGCUUAUGGCAUACCCGCGGAUUAUACCGACGAGUAUCUUCGCAUUGGGCAAGAUACAACUACGGAGUCAGUCCGUAGGUUUGCCAAGUUGGUCAUCCGGUUGUACGGUGAGCACUAUCUUCGGGCACCAAACGAGGAAGAUACAAAGAGAUUAAUGGAAAUGGAUGAAAAAAGGGGAUGGCCGGGGAUGCUUGGUAGUCUUGAUUGCAUGCAUUGGAGGUGGAAAAAUUGCCCAAAGGCAUGGCACGGAAUGUAUUGCGGUAAAAGCCGUGAUGCUACCAUUGUGCUUGAGGCCGUAGCAUCUCAGGACACAUGGAUUUGGCAUGCAUUCUUUGGGUUGCCGGGAACACUCAAUGAUAUCAAUAUCCUCAAUAGAUCUCCUUUGUUCAAAAGAUUAAUUUCUGGGGAUGCUCCAGCUUGCAACUACAAAAUCAUGGACAAUGAGUACUCAAUGGGAUACUAUCUCACCGAUGGCAUCUAUCCCGAAUGGGCAACUCUUGUGAAGUCCAUCAAGGAGAAAAAUGGGGUGCCCUUAACAAGAAAAGAGGCUCAUUUCACCAAGGCACAAGAGGCAGCCCGCAAGGAUAUUGAGAGAGCUUUCGGUGUUUUGCAAGCAAGGUUUGCCAUAGUUCGUGGUCCAGCUCGGUUUUGGGACAAAAAAACCUUGGUGAACAUC
rnacentral:rRNA from 1 species